UUUUCCCUGCAGAAAAGAUUGCAGAUUCACCUUCAGAUGUGUGUUUCAGGAGGACAAAAAAAAAAAAAAAAAGUGCAAUAGGAAGGUGUAGCUGUUGACCCCCGCCUCCCCUAGGAAAAUAAGCGGCAAGAAUUCUUUCAGGUUGCGUCUUCGUGGAGGCCAACAGCUAAACGAAAAGGCAGCCUUUUGGGGGCUGCCCACUGUCCAGCAUUUGGGCACCUGAAGUGCACAAAGAAGACGGCUUUGGAGCAAGAAUUUGGAAUAUGCGUUUAAGUUGUCGUGCUUUGCAUUGGAAACCCCUGGGCAAUUAAAAUAAUAAGCAUGCCUUGUA